UAUUAUUUAAAAUAUAAUUAUAAAUACUUAAGUAGUAGUAGUUAUGUUCUUGAAACUUAAAAAAUUUGGCGGUAUUUUAGUCUAUCCAGAGGAACCUGUUUUGUAAUCGAUAAUCCACGAUGGACCUUACUUAAGUUUGUAAUCAGUUUAUAUACCGUCGUUAUCAGAAUAUUUUAUAAGAAUAAAAAUAUUCAAUAAUUUAUAUUAAAAUUUAUAUCAGAUCAAGGUGUAGCUUAUAUUUAAGUAAUAAUGGGUUACAAUAAAAAUAUUUAAACGAAUAAAAUAAUGAAAAAAUUUUUGAAGGUGGAUUUGGCAGUAAAAUUAUAAAGAUUAAUAAUUUGAUUUUAGCUCUAAAAUAUGUACACAUCGCCCGUCGCUCUUAUUAUUAAGGUAAGAUAAGUCGUAACAUAGUAGAUGUACUGGAAAGUGUAUCUAGAAUGA
rnacentral:rRNA from 2 species